rnacentral:rRNA from 1 species
GAUGAACGCUGGCGGCGUGCUUAACACAUGCAAGUCGAACGGAAAGGCUCCUGCUUGCAGGGGUACUAGAGUGGCGAACGGGUGAGUAACACGGGGGUGAUCUUCCCUGUACUUCGGGAUAAGCCUGGGAAACUGGGACUAAUACCGGAUAGGUCGAUGGUUUGGAUGCCAUUGUUGAAAGUUUUUUCGGUGUGGGAUGAGCUCGCGGCCUAACAGCUUGUUGGUGGGGUAAUGGCCUACCAAGGCGUCGACGGGUAGCCGGCCUGAGAGGGUGUACGGCCACAGUGGGACUGAGAUACGGCCCAGACUCCUACGGGAGGCAGCAGUGGGGAAUAUUGCACAAUGGGCGCAAGCCUGAUGCAGCGACGCCGCGUGGGGGAUGACGGCCUUCGGGUUGUAAACUCCUUUCGCUAGGGACGAAGCGCAAGUGACGGUACCUGGAGAAGAAGCACCGGCUAACUACGUG